rfam:Nitrospirae bacterium RBG_16_43_8 RBG_16_scaffold_44149, whole genome shotgun sequence.
UAACUCCUGCCUUGUCCGUGAUAGGAGGGGGAAAACUUGUUCCGACAAUUAGAACAUUAUGGGAGCCGGAGUAUGGCAAGUGUGAGCGGCCCGAAACAUCGGGAGAGCAAGCCUGAUCUUGCCUUCGAGGCGCCCACCUGUGAAAACAGGGAUACAAGUUUUUCUUCUACACGGCAAGGUGGGUAUAUU